rnacentral:rRNA from 1 species
GCGGACGGGUGAGUAAUGCUUGGGAACUUGCCUUUGCGAGGGGGAUAACAGUUGGAAACGACUGCUAAUACCGCAUAAUGUCUUCGGACCAAACGGGGCUUCGGCUCCGGCGCAAAGAGAGGCCCAAGUGAGAUUAGCUAGUUGGUAAGGUAACGGCUUACCAAGGCGACGAUCUCUAGCUGUUCUGAGAGGAAGAUCAGCCACACUGGGACUGAAACACGGCCCAAACUCCUACGGGAGGCAGCAGUGGGGAAUAUUGCACAAUGGGGGAAACCCUGAUGCAGCCAUGCCGCGUGUGUGAAGAAGGCCUUCGGGUUGUAAAGCACUUUCAGUUGUGAGGAAAAGUUAGUAGUUAAUACCUGCUAGCCGUGACGUUAACAACAGAAGAAGCACCGGCUAACUCCGUGCCAGCAGCCGCGGUAAUACGGAGGGUGCGAGCGUUAAUCGGAAUUACUGGGCGUAAAGCGCACGCAGGCGGUUUGUUAAGCUAGAUGUGAAAG